AGCGAACGCUGGCGGCAGGCCUAACACAUGCAAGUCGAACGGACCCUUCGGGGUUAGUGGCGGACGGGUGAGUAACACGUGGGAACGUGCCUUUUGGUUCGGAACAACUCAGGGAAACUUGAGCUAAUACCGAAUGUGCCCUUCGGGGAAAGGAUUUAUCGCCAUUAGAGCGGCCCGCGUCUGAUUAGCUUGUUGGUGAG
rnacentral:rRNA from 1 species